GACGAACGCUGGCGGCGUGCUUAACACAUGCAAGUCGAACGGAAAGGCCCUUCGGGGUACUCGAGUGGCGAACGGGUGAGUAACACGUGGGUGAUCUGCCCUGCACUUUGGGAUAAGCCUGGGAAACUGGGUCUAAUACCGAAUACACCCUGCUGGUCGCAUGGCCUGGUGGGGGAAAGCUUUUGCGGUGUGGGAUGGGCCCGCGGCCUAUCAGCUUGUUGGUGAGGUUACGGCUCACCAAGGCGACGACGGGUAGCCGGCCUGAGAGGGUGACCGGCCACACUGGGACUGAGAUACGGCCCAGACUCCUACGGGAGGCAGCAGUGGGGAAUAUUGCACAAUGGGCGCAAGCCUGAUGCAGCGACGCCGCGUGAGGGAUGACGGCCUUCGGGUUGUAAACCUCUUUCGCCAGGGACGAAGCGCAAGUGACGGUACCUGGAGAAGAAGGACCGGCCAACUACGUGCCAGCAGCCGCGGUAAUACGUAGGGUCCGAGCGUUGUCCGAAAUUACUGGGCGUAAAGAGCUCGUAGGUGGUUUGUCGCGUUGUUCGUGAAAACUCACAGCUUAACUGUGGGCGUGCGGGCGAUACGGGCAGACUGGAGUACUGCAGGGGAGACUGGAAUUCCUGGUGUAGCGGUGGAAUGCGCAGAUAUCAGGAGGAACACCGGUGGCGAAGGCGGGUCUCUGGGCAGUAACUGACGCUGAGGAGCGAAAGCGUGGGGAGCGAACAGGAUUAGAUACCCUGGUAGUCC
rnacentral:rRNA from 1 species